UACGUAGGGGGCGAGCGUUGUCCGGAUUUACUGGGCGUAAAGAGCUCGUAGGCGGCUCGUCGCGUCGUCCGUGAAAACCCGCGGCUUAACCGCGGGCUUGCGGUUGAUACGGGCGGGCUAGAGUUCGGUAGGGGAGACUGGAAUUCCUGGUGUAGCGGUGAAAUGCGCAGAUAUCAGGAAGAACACCCGUGGCGAAGGCGGCUCUCUGGGACGGUACUGACGCUGAGACGCGAAAGCGUGGGGAGCGAACAGG
rnacentral:rRNA from 1 species